rnacentral:misc_RNA from 1 species
AAAAAUAGAAUCACUUGAAUCCCAUGAUGAGUGGCUUGUACAAUUUAAUUAUUUGUGGGAUUCCAUUACAGCCCAUAUACCACGAGCAACACAAGCAACUUGAAAGUUUGUGAAGCCAGCUGCCCUGAUCAAGGCCUCAAAUUCCCUUGCUGUCCUCUCUUUGCCUGAAUGAUGAGUUAACAUGGUAAUAUCAAUUCUUGAAACAAACUGGGAAGCCUUGCUUUUCUCUGGUUCUUCUGGCAAUAAUGCAUUCAUCACUAUAAGUUUCCCAUUAUUUGGCAGCGCCUCAUAAAUGUUCUUCAUUACUCUUACCACGUUUUCAUCAUUCCAGUUGUGGCAUGUAUCCUUUAUCAUAAUUGCUUCUCCUUUAGGAACGCUUGUGAACAUAUUUCCUCCUACAUGCUGGACUCCAGGAUAAGGUGGUGCACUUUGGGUCACAUGAGGCAGAUCAUAGUUGAUGCCUUUGAUGGAAGGGUACUUAGAGAUGAUCAUAUUGAGAGUCCUGCCAGUGCCACCGCCAACAUCAACCAGUGAAGUGAGUCCCUCGAAUCCUUUGUAUAUCGCAAGAAUUUCAUUCAUUGAGAAUUUAGUGAGACCAGCAAUUGCUUGAUUGAAGAUGGUGUUGAAUUCUGGAUCUUUAUUCAUGUACUCGAACAUAGACAUCCCAUGAACUUUCUUAAACAGAUCUCCACCUUCAAGAAUUGCAUCCUUCAUAUGUAACCAAACCUCCAAGGUGGCUCUGUGAUAGGCAAAAGCAGAAAACGGGGCGAAAGAGCCUUCUUCUACAGUGCCAAGAAAGAAUUUACAGGCAGGCGUGAGCCCAUAAAGCUUUUCAAUCCUACCAUCUUCGAGGGUUCGUGAGGAGUAAGAGAGAAGGGAGUGAGUGGCGAAGAGACGCAACAUACGGUCAAGCAUAGAAGGGGCCUCAGGAUUUGAUGUGGGAAGCUGAGCGGCAAUCUCAGAAGCUGAAACAUAAGCUCCAGGGCCUGCUUUGGCUAUGAUGUCAAAGAGAUUUAGCUCGAUAGCUGUGCGAAGGACCAGAGGAAAGACACGAGAGCUAGAGAAUAUCAUGGCAUCAAGACAUGCUUCCUCUUCUUGAUAACUUUCUAUGGAGCCCAUACUUGUGGCUAAGGCUCUGUUUAUUUCGUUCCUGGUUCUGAUGCUGUGGCUUUUUU